GGGGCGGUGGAAGCUAUGAAAAGAGGCAGGAAAAAAGUUCCUUUGACCCGAUGCUGUCAGAGAGCGUGCAUGAAGAAGAAAGUUAAUGGUAUUUCCAUUUAUAUAAGAAGCGCCUAAGAAAUGCCUGUGACGUUCGUGAACUAGUGAUUGUGAAUUCCAAAUUUGAUGCCAACUUUAUGUGUAAAGAAGCUAACUCCUGCCAACAUCGUGGCUGAAUGAACAGCUGGGACUAUGCUUAACCCAUUCCCAGCUUAUAAAAGCCCCAUGGCAGCUGCAGUGAAGCAUCAGGUGAGUCUGAUAUGGGCUGUCUGUUCCCUCGGGGAUUUGAAUCUUGCCUGUCCUUUCCAAGUGGAGUCUUGUGCCUAAGUGCUAGAGCCCACUCCUUCCUCCCCACUGAUUCCCUUCUUUCCAUUUCUGCCAUUUCCCUUCUUCUUUUAAUAAAACUUGGACAUUUUCUGGAGUUA
rnacentral:lncRNA from 10 species